AAAAUUAGAGUGUUCAAAGCAGGCAGAUCCAAUUUUCUGCCACCGAAUACAUUAGCAUGGGAUAAUGGAAUAGGACCCUGUCCUCCUAUUUUCAGUUGGUUUUGGCAGCGCGAGGACUAGGGUAAUGAUUAAUAGGGAUAGUUGGGGGCAUUAAUAUUUAAUUGUCAGAGGUGAAAUUCUUGGAUUUAUGAAAGAUUAACUUCUGCGAAAGCAUCUGCCAAGGAUGUUUUCAUUAAUCAAGAACGAAAGUUAGGGGAUCGAAGACGAUCAGAUACCGUCGUAGUCUUAACCAUAAACGAUGCCGACCAGCGAUUAGGAGACGUUGAAUACAAAACACCACCAUCGGUUGCGGUCGUCCUUGGCGUCUCGGUUUCGGCCGGGGCGCGGGGAUGGCUUAGCCCGGUGGCACCGGUGAA
rnacentral:rRNA from 16 species